CGGGGGCGGGAGCGGGCCGGGCCGCCUCUGCGGGGCCCACACGCACCGGGUGGGUCUGGCAGGCUCUGAGGCCUGGCGUUUGGUCGGAGCCGGACGGAGACUGGGGCAGCGCCGGCGGGUGAAGGAUGAAGGAGCAGAUGGCAGAACCCGAACUGCCUGGGGUCAGGAGGAGCGGGUACUGCCGGGGAGCGCCUCCUAGUGAGCGGGUGCUCCCCUGGAGGUGCUCCAGGAACGAUGCCCAGCUCGAAAGGUUGCAGUCGGUGAUCCUACCCGAGCUGUGUCCACCCGGGGAUCUGACUCGGUCUCGUUUAUCCUGAACGACCUAUGAUUUAAGUAGCAGCUUGUCCUCCGGAGUGGGAAUGUCGGAGAGGAUCUGCGCGAGAAUCAACAGUUCACUUAUGGACUCGUGUCUACUAGGUAAAAGAAGAGUGACCACCUCUACCUCAGGCUUACAGAAAGCUUUCCAGAGAAACUUCUGCUCGACUGGGAUCUUAAAGAAGGGCAUUGCUGGCCAAGGGAAUGGCAUGGGAAAGGCCUGGAGUCAUGAAGAAGGAUAAUGCACUCAGAGGACUCGGGUUCUGUUUGGCGGGAGCAUUGGGAAUAAGGAAGAAAAGAGUAGAAGACGGCAACUGCGUAGGCAGGCAGAGACUAAAUCAGGACAAUGCCUUUUCAUACUGCAAACUUAAAUUUUACCCUGUGAGAAUGAAAUGUUGGAAGGUAUAAAAUGAGGAAAUUGCUUCAUCAGAUUUUUUCAUAUAAGAUUAUCGCUCUGGCAGCCGUGGAGAAGAUAAAUAGAACGCUGGAAAAGUGAUAAUCAUAAUCAGAGAGCUAGUUAAGGAGUUAUUGCAGUAUUGCAAGUGAGGAUCAGUGAGGGUCCAGGACAGCCCUUUUCGAAUGGUUAUUGGAAGGAUGGAGGAAGAUGUUAAAGAAGUAGAAUGCACGCUAUUAAUGCAAUAUGAGUAAGAGGAAGGGUGGUCUAGUUUAGCUCUCAUGUUUUCCACUUGGGGGAUUGUAGAGGAAGAACAGGUUUCCCACCGAAGUCCACUUCGGGGUGGCCGAGGGAAGCUAAAUAAUCAUUUAUUGUGACAUAUUGCAUUUAAUGCCUGUUGCACACCCGGGUAGAAGCAUCCAGUGGGCAGUUGGAUAUAUGGGUCUGGAGCUCACAAGAAAAUAGUGCUGCAAUUAAGCAAAGAUCCUCGUAAUUUAAGCGAGUGGUCUCUUAAGUGAUGUGUGCAAACACCCUGUUGGGGAUUCUACAGUGAAAAUAUUUGAAUUUAUAUUUACUUUCUAUUUCAUCCUUUCAAAUUUUCUAUUUUUGUAUGUUUUAUAAUGUAUAAAACAUUUUAGAACAGUAAUACAUAUGCAUAAUGUAUAAAUAAGUAUGUAUGAGAAUGUGCUCAAGAUAUUUUUGGAGGUUAGUAAUUUAAACUGAUUGGGAACUAGUGGUCACUUCUGAGCAUUGCCUUCACCAUAAUAACCUGAAUUUUUUUUAAAAAAAUACAUGUUUCUGGACACUAUCUCCAGAGACUCUGAUUUACUAAGUGUGUAGGAAGAAACCUGAAAAAUCCAUCUUUUAAUUUAAUUCCUCCAAUGAUUCUGAUAAUCAGCCAAGUCUGAUUACAGGGUAAAACCAUGGAAAACACAUAUAGAAAGAGAAGAUAAGGAGAUAAGAUAGAUAGGUUUGAAUGACACUGCUAAUUCUAAUAGUUCCAAAUAUGUUAAUUCAUAUUCUCUUGAUUUUUAAUAAUCUCAUAGAAUGGCCAUAGUCAGUAUUGAAUUGUCUCCACUAAGCUAAAAUUAACAUUAAAAAUUCGAAAGUCUAUUUUAAUGUUAUAUGUUCUAUUUUGGGCACAGGUUUCUCUCUCAUACGUACACAGAUUACAUGGAACAUUUUUUGACUAGCCGAGAGAGAACUUUUUUCCUAAGCAUGUAAAAUUCUGCCUUGCCUGGAUCCACCAAAAUAUUAAACUUGGAAGGCUAAGGACAAAAAUGGCCUAUGAUUUAAAGCCUGUUCUCCAUUUCAAAAUGAAGACAUUGCCCACAUCUAAAAUCUUCCUUCUGUGAAUCAAAAUUUGAGAAAAAGAUGACAACGUAAUGUGAAUGCCUGAAAGGAUCACGUAAUAAAAACUUUUGAGGACUGUUACGGGCUGAAUUAUGUCCCCCUGCAAACUCAUAUGUUAAAACCCUUACCACCAGCAUCUCAGAAUGGGAUGGUAUUUGGAGACAGGGCCUUUAAAGAGGUGAUUAUCAAGUUGAAAGGAGGCCAUUAGGCUGGGCCCUAAUCCUCUCUGACUGGUGUUAUGUAAAGAGGAAAUGUGGACACACACAGGGACACCAGGGAUGCGCACACAGAGAAAAGACCACGUGAGGCCAUAGUGAGAAGGCUGCCAAGUGCAAGCCAAGGAGAGAGGCCUCAGAAGAAACAAAACCCACUGACACCUUAAUCUUGGACUUCCAGCCUCCAGAACUGUGGGAAAAUAAGUUUCUCUUGUUUAAAACCACCCAGAAUGUGGUAUUUUGUUAUGGCAGCCCUAGCAAACUGAUACCAGGACAAUAAACCACUUAUUCAACUUUACAGUUAGACUGAUGAAGAACUGAGAAAUAUGUACAGGUUUUUAACCCUUAUGGCCUUGUUUUUUGAAUCAAAAGAAGCAAACAGUACUUACAGUAUAAUUGUAUUGUCCAGAGUUUCUCACCUCUGUGAAAUUGAUUUAAACUUGGUAAAUGGUAGAUAUUAUUGACAGCAACUCUUGCCUCAAUGUAAUUUAGUAUUCUUAGUGUAAUUAUUACUUUGAAAUGUGAUCCCAGGUAUAUUUUGAGGUCUAUAUAUUUUGUAAGAUAGAAUUUUGUGUGAUUGCUAACUACUGACCCAAUUUUGCAAUUAUAACAUUGUAACCAAGCUAAAUGAAGAUCAGAAUACAUGAUUAAUUACUU